rnacentral:rRNA from 1 species
CCUACGGGUGGCUGCAGUCGAGAAUCAUUCACAAUGGGGGAAACCCUGAACCAGCAACGCCGCGUGAGGGAAGACGGUUUUCGGAUUGUAAACCUCUGUCCUCUGUGAAGAUGAUGACGGUAGCAGAGGAGGAAGCUCCGGCUAACUACGUGCCAGCAGCCGCGGUAAUACGUAGGGAGCGAGCGUUGUCCGGAUUUACUGGGUGUAAAGGGUGCGUAGGCGGCUUGGCAAGUCAGUAGUGAAAUCCAUGGGCUUAACCCAUGAACUGCUAUUGAAACUGUCGAGCUGGAGUGAAGUAGAGGUAGGCGGAAUUCCCGGUGUAGCGGUGAAAGGCGUAGAGAUCGGGAGGAACACCAGUGGCGAAGGCGGCCUACUGGGCUUUAACUGACGCUGAGGCACGAAAGCGUGGGUAGCAAACAGGAUUAGAUACCCUAGUAGUC